rnacentral:rRNA from 1 species
AUUGAACGCUGGCGGCAGGCCUACACAUGCAAGUCGAGCGGGGUUUUCGGACCUAGCGGCGGACGGGUGAGUAAUGCGUAGGAAGCUACCCGAUAGAGGGGGAUACCAGUUGGAAACGACUGUUAAUACCGCAUAAUGUCUACGGACCAAAGUGUGGGACCUUCGGGCCACAUGCUAUCGGAUGCGCCUACGUGGGAUUAGCUAGUUGGUGAGGUAAUGGCUCACCAAGGCGACGAUCCCUAGCUGGUUUGAGAGGAUGAUCAGCCACACUGGAACUGAGACACGGUCCAGACUCCUACGGGAGGCAGCAGUGGGGAAUAUUGGACAAUGGGCGCAAGCCUGAUCCAGCCAUGCCGCGUGUGUGAAGAAGGCCUUCGGGUUGUAAAGCACUUUCAGCGAGGAGGAAGGGGUGAGUGUUAAUAGUACUCAUCUUUGACGUUACUCGCAGAAGAAGCACCGGCUAACUCUGUGCCAGCCGCCGCGGUAAGAC